rnacentral:rRNA from 1 species
UGCCUAAUGCAUGCAAGUAGAACGAGAAGUAGCAAUACUUCGAGUUGCGAACGGCUGAGUAUAAGAUAGGAAUCUCCCAUUUGGUGUGGAAUACCUCGUCGAAAGACGAGCUAAUACCGCAUGAGACCGCAAGGUGAAAGCGCUUAACCGCGCGCCGAUUGAUGAGCCUAUCUCCCAUCAGCUAGUUGGUAAGGUAAUGGCUUACCAAGGCUAUGACGGGUAGGGGGCGUGAGAGCGCGUCCCCCCAGAAUGGGACUGAGACACGGCCCAUACACCUACGGGUGGCAGCAACAGGGAAUAGUGCGCAAUGGACGAAAGUCUGACGCCGCAAUGCCGUCGUUUAGGAUGAAGGCCUUCGGGUCGUAAACUCC